GAAGCCAGGGAUCUGGACCCUCAGAAGUAUUGUAGGUAGCUCUGGGAACAGUGCUCAGUAAGCAGAGUGCUAGCCUAGCACACCCAAAGCUGUGGGUUCCACCCCCAGCGCUGCACAGAGCAGGCAUGGUGGAACACGCUGUUCAGGAGGUGGAGGCAGGAGGUUCAAGGUCAUCCUUGGCUUUAUAGUGGCAGCUUAAGGCUAGCCUGAGCUACAUGAGACUCCACUCUCAGAGCAAGGACUCUUCCCAGGUAUUUUGGAAGUGCGGCUGCGAGUCUCUCGUAUAGACAUGAAGCCGAAGCCAGGCCACCAUACAAGCUGAGGACAUCGUGACUGAGGAACAGAAGAGUCCAAUGCAAAUGGGACCGCCAGUCCUGAGGUUUCUCAGCCCUGCCACUUUGACUCCCAGAAUGGGAAGCAUGACCAGUUGGAGAUAUGGGGACCAAGGAUUUGCCGGACACCUAUGGCACAGUUCACACGCAUGAAUGCUGUGUGUGCAAGGACCUAGGGUUCACUAGGGUACGGCAUGCAAUGCACAGGACAGUAAGAUCCAGCCAACAUGGUCCUCCUUGUUGCUAAGAGCCUCCACCUUCUGGGGAUGGCAGACCCACCUCUGGAGACCACACUUCCUGCUCAGUUCUGCACAACUAGGAGAUCUUGGGAUCUCCAGCAACAGCUCAACCAGGGACUCCCGGCGGCCUUGGUGGGCCUUUCUCAGCAUAUGGUGGAAUCAGUAGCAGUGUCCCAGAGAGGCCAGGU